rnacentral:rRNA from 1 species
GACAGAGGGUGCGAACGUUGUUCGGAAUGACUGGGCGUAAAGCGCAUGUAGGCGGCCGGACAGGUCGGAGGUGAAAGCCCCUGGCUCAACCAGGGAAGUGCCUUCGAAACCGUUCGGCUAGAGUUUCGGAGAGGAAGGCGGAAUUCUCGGUGUAGAGGUGAAAUUCGUAGAUAUCGAGAGGAACACCGGUGGCGAAAGCGGCCUUCUGGACGGAGACUGACGCUGAGAUGCGAAAGCGUGGGGAGCAAACAGG